GUACAUCGCUUGGGCUUUUCGUCUUGCUUCUCAUUGCCUUUGCCACUCAAGAUCAGAUGGUGGUGCCGGCGGAGGGGAGAGUGUGCGAGGCACCUAGCGGCAAAUUCAGUGGGCUAUGCUUCCUUGAAAAGAACUGCGUGGAUGUGUGCACGAAGAAGGAGAAACUUCUGGGCGGCUUUUGCAGAAAUGGGAUGUGUUACUGCAAGCAUUGCUAAUUAAUUAUUAAAAAAAUAAGUCCCACUCCCACUGGCUUACGCCAUACCCAUGCAUAUAUGUGCAUGUAAUACUGUCAUAUUUGUAGGUUGCUUAUACUCAUAAUCGGCCGCAUGUGAUAGAUAAAUAAAACGAGAUGGGAUCUUUGUACUGUUUAA